rnacentral:rRNA from 1 species
UGGGGAAUUUUCCGCAAUGGGGGCAACCCUGACGGAGCAACGCCGCGUGCGGGAGGACGGCCUGUGGGUUGUAAACCGCUUUUCUCUGGGAAGAAGAUCUGACGGUACCAGGGGAAUCAGCAUCGGCUAACUCCGUGCCAGCAGCCGCGGUAAGACGGAGGAUGCAAGCGUUAUCCGGAAUUAUUGGGCGUAAAGCGUCCGUAGGCGGUUUUCCAAGUCCGCUGUCAAAGCCUGCAGCUCAACUGUGGAUAGGCAGUGGAAACUGAAAGACUAGAGUGCGGUAGGGGUAGAGGGAAUUCCCAGUGUAGCGGUGAAAUGCGUAGAUAUUGGGAAGAACACCAGUGGCGAAGGCGCUCUACUGGGCCGCAACUGACGCUGAGGGACGAAAGCUAGGGGAGCGAAAGGGAUUAGAUACCCGCGUAGUCC